GCGGUCGUAGCUCAAUUGGUUAGAGCAUCAGGUUGUGGACCUGAGGGUUGUCGGUUCAAGUCCGAUCGACCGCC
rnacentral:tRNA from 1 species